rnacentral:rRNA from 1 species
GAUGAACGCUGGCGGCGUGCCUAAUACAUGCAAGUCGAGCGAACGGACGAGAAGCUUGCUUUUCUGAUGUUAGCGGCGGACGGGUGAGUAACACGUGGAUAACCCACCUAUAAGACUGGGAUAACUUCGGGAAACCGGAGCUAAUACCGGAUAAUAUUUUGCACCGCGUGGUUCAAAAGUGAGAGACGGCCUUGCUGUCACUUAUAGAUGGAUCUGCGCUGCAUUAGCUAGUUGGUAAGGUAACGGCUUACCAAGGCAAGUAUGCAUAGCCGACGGGUGAGGGGGAUCGGCCGCACGGGAAGGUGGACACGGACCUGGGUCCUACGGGAGGGAGCAGUAGGGAAUCUGACGCAAUGGGCGAAAGCCUGACGGAGCAACGCCGCGUGAGAGAUGAAAGUCUUCGGAGCGUAAUGCUGUGUUAUUAGUUGAGAACAGAUUUGGAAGGAACUGAGGACAGCUUGACGGUACCUAAUAAGAAAGCAACGGCUAACUACGUG